GCGGGGGUAGCAGAGCCAGGUCAACCUUUACAGCAAUAAGGGGCCUCAUGCGCGGGACUCAAGUCAGGGAACCGAGAACCCGGUUCAUGUGGGGUAUCCCGUCCCGAAGGGGUUCGUGGGUUCGAAUCCCACCCCCCGCA
rnacentral:tRNA from 1 species